rnacentral:rRNA from 1 species
UACGUAGGGUGCGAGCGUUAAUCGGAAUUACUGGGCGUAAAGCGUGCGCAGGCGGCUUUGCAAGACAGAUGUGAAAUCCCCGGGCUUAACCUGGGAACUGCAUUUGUGACUGCAAGGCUAGAGUGCGGCAGAGGGGGAUGGAAUUCCGCGUGUAGCAGUGAAAUGCGUAGAUAUGCGGAGGAACACCGAUGGCGAAGGCAAUCCCCUGGACCUGUACUGACGCUCAUGCACGAAAGCGUGGGGAGCAAACAGG